rnacentral:rRNA from 1 species
GAGCCAGACUCCUACGGGAGGCAGCAGUGGGGAAUAUUGCACAAUGGGGGAAACCCUGAUGCAGCGACGCCGCGUGAAGGAAGAAGUAUUUCGGUAUGUAAACUUCUAUCAGCAGGGAAGAAAAUGACGGUACCUGACUAAGAAGCCCCGGCUAACUACGUGCCAGCAGCCGCGGUAAUACGUAGGGGGCAAGCGUUAUCCGGAUUCACUGGGUGUAAAGGGAGCGUAGACGGCCAUGCAAGCCUGGAGUGAAAGCCCGGGGCCCAACCCCGGGACUGCUCUGGGAACUGUGCGGCUGGAGUGCGGGAGGGGCAGGCGGAAUUCCUGGUGUAGCGGUGAAAUGCGUAGAUAUCAGGAGGAACACCGGCGGCGAAGGCGGCCUGCUGGACCGCGACUGACGUUGAGGCUCGAAAGCGUGGGGAGCAAACAGGAUUAGAUACCCGCGUA